CUCGUAGGUGGCCAACUAAGUCAGACGUGAAAUCCCACGGCUUAACCGUGGAACUGCGUCUGAUACUGGAUGGCUUGAGUUUGGGAGAGGGACGCGGAAUUCCAGGUGUAGCGGUGAAAUGCGUAGAUAUCUGGAGGAACACCGGUGGCGAAGGCGGCGUCCUGGACCAACACUGACACUGAGGAGCGAAAGCCAGGGGAGCAAACG
rnacentral:rRNA from 1 species